GACGUAGGGCGCGAGCGUUGUCCGGAUUUAUUGGGCGUAAAGAGCUCGUAGGCGGCUUGUCGCGUCGACUGUGAAAACCCGCGGCUCAACUGCGGGCCUGCAGCCGAUACGGGCAGGCUAGAGUUCGGUAGGGGAGACUGGAAUUCCUGGUGUAGCGGUGAAAUGCGCAGAUAUCAGGAGGAACACCAGUGGCGAAGGCGACUAACUGGACAGGCAUUGACGCUGAGGCACGAAAGCGUGGGGAUCAAACAGG
rnacentral:rRNA from 1 species